rnacentral:rRNA from 1 species
GAUGAACGCUGGCGGCGUGCCUAAUACAUGCAAGUAGAACGCUGAAGGAGGAGCUUGCUCUUCUGGAUGAGUUGCGAACGGGUGAGUAACGCGUAUGUAACCUGCCUGGUAGCGGGGGAUAACUAUUGGAAACGAUAGCUAAUACCGCAUGACAACAGUUAUUGCAUGAUAACUGUUUAAAAGGGGCAACUGCUCCACUACCAGAUGGACCUGCGUUGUAUUAGCUAGUUGGUGAGGUGACGGCUCACCAAGGCGACGAUACAUAGCCGACCUGAGAGGGGGAUCGGCCAAACUGGGACUGAGACACGGCCCAGACUCCUUCGGGAGGCAGCAGUAGGGAAUCUUCGGCAAAGGACGGAAGGCUGACCGAGCAACGCCGCGUGCGUGAAGAAGGUUUUCGGAUCGUAAAGCUCUGUUGUACGAGAAGAACGAGUGUGAGAGUGGAAAGUUCACACUGUGACGGUAUCUUACCAGAAAGGGACGGCUAACUACGUG